rnacentral:misc_RNA from 1 species
GAUGAAGAACGCAGCGAAAUGCGAUACUUGGUGUGAAUUGCAGAAUCCCGUGAACCAUCGAGUCUUUGAACGCAAGUUGCGCCCGAAGCCAUUAGGCCGAGGGCACUCCUGCCUGGGCGUCACACGUCGUUGCCCCCCCAUCUACUCCUUCGGGAUUGCGGGGGGCGGAUGAUGGCCUCCCGUGCGCCUCGUCGCGCGGUUGGCAUAAAUACCAAGUCCUCGGCGACGCACGCCACGACAAUCGGUGGUUGCGAAACCUCGGUUGCCCGUCGUGUGCGGUCGUCGCGCAUCGAGGGCUCGAAAAAAUUGCCGGGCUCCGGCUCGGCUUUCAACGCGACCCCAGGUCAGGCGGGGUUACCCGCUGAAUUUAAGCAUAUCAAUAAGCGGAGGA